CCCCAACAUCUUAUCUAAAUCUCCCCUCCUUUAGUUUGAAAGCAUUCUCCUUUGUGCUAUCAUUCUGUUUGAAUAACAAAGAAAUUAAGAAAGCCUCCCCCUGCCAACCCCAAUAAAUAAAGGAUGCAGCCCGUUCUUGCCAUACAUCCAACUGCACAUCGGAUACUACAGACACAAUGGGGAGCUUUCACAAAACUCAGCUCUGGCCGAGGUACAUAGAAGGAAAUUUAUCAUUUUCACCUCUGAGUAAUACCUCUGAGCACAGUAAGAUCAUCGGCUGGCAAGCUGAGGAAUUCACUUCUGGUUUUCCUCAUCACAGUAAGUAAAUGAAAGAAAGCAAGAGGGGGAAAAAAAAAAAGCAAGAGAAUAAGAAAGAAAAAGAAAAGGAAAGCAAAAAAAGAAAAAAAACCACAUUCAGUCCCUUAAACUUCUAAAAGAGAAGUUGUUAAUAAGUUAAACAUAUCAGAUUGGAAGUUUGAUGCAUUGGAAGGAAAGUAAAAACUCAGUGACUAUAGACUUGCAGUGAUGACCCCUGUCUCUGGCAUACCACAGUUCUCUUCUCCUGUCCCUCCUUUUGCCAUUCUGAAGCCACCAUGGGAAGCUGAGAGUAUUCCAGAGCUGCACAGGUACAAUGCCAAGUAGCUUACACAUAGAUAAGCACCUUGGCACUCAGCCAUCCUCCCACCAAUCAGACAAGCAUUACCACUUGGGCCUGGGUAUUGCUGUUUGAGUUGUCAGCACUGUCAGAUAUCUGAAUAAAAUGGUGUUAUCAUACUACACCUUACUGAGUGAAAUCAGGAGGUUUCAUUGCAUUGUUCCAAGUGCAAAGUGUAUCAGCAGCAUCAAGUGAAAAAAAGAGGGGCUGUCAGUGUUUGUUUUCCCAUCUCUGUCUCUUGGGACAUGUGGCCAUUGCAAGAUUGGUGUUUUUCAUGAAGACUCGGUGGAAGGAACUGGGUGGAUGUGUCUGAGCCAUGAAAAUGGGUGGUUCUCAUAAUAAUUCCCAAAUCAGAUUAUGCUGUGCUGAGUAAUUACAACGAGUAAAGCUGAAAUGAAUAUUCACCAGUGGAACAGAUUUGUGGAUCCACGUGUAAACAGGACAGCAAACACCAAGGCAGACCUAAUGUGUCCUCCUGACUAUGAAAUGAGGAAAGGUGAAACAAAAAGCAGCUUUAGAUAAGAUUUAAAAUAAUGUUUGCUUGCCAAAAGGCUACUAGCAAAAAAAAAAAAAAAAGAGAAAAAAAAAAGAGAUAUAGUCUAACUUCCUUCUAAAGAAAACUAACAAUUAUAUACCCUGAAUUAUUAUAAUCUUGAGAAGUUAUGGCAUUUUUCCAUGAAAAAUCACCCUCUCAACUGCAUUAUGAGGAUCAGUCACUGUGACAUAACCUCUAUACUAUUGUCAUACACUGCUGCUGCUGUUGAACAGUGUUUCCCCAUCCUGUUGCAGCCAGUUGCUAUCUACAGGUGUUAUCUAUUCCACGGCAAACCCUGAUGUAAUGAAUACCGAUCUGCCCCCUGGGAAGGUGCUGGUGCUGAGGUCAGCCUGUUGGCCUCUGGAGCACUAACAACUGCUUUGUCACUGACAGGGUCUCAGUGGUCAAUUCCUGAGGUCUCCAACUCCCAGCGAGGUAUGAAACCACACUGUGAUCUACCUGAAUGGGGACGGGAUGAAAGGGGUAGGUGGGGGAAAAGAAGGGCACAACACAGUAAAAUAAGUUCCUUCCUCCAUUCAGUCAGGGAUUUUAAUAAGAAGUAUGAGAAAGCUUUGAAACCUUUAUGUCAGUCAAGUUCAGUUGACAUCUACCAGAGGAUUCAAGUCUGUCCAGACCUCCUAUUCCUGCAGAGAUGACUGCAAGUCUCACUACCCUGGGAAGUUAGGCUAAGAUGUUUGGAAAUGAAAUUUCCUUCUUCAUCCAGGCAGUAUGCUAGUACCAGUUAGCCCUAUUGCUCAGUAUUUUAUGGUUAAAGUGGUAACAUGUUACAAAGCAAUGGCACCAAAAGCACUUGUGAAGCAGCUCAAGGACCAUCAUACUGACUUAAUCCCAGUACUUAACAUGGGUACCUGUAAAGGACAGAAAAUCUGAAUGCCCACAAAGGAAGAACGUGAGUUCUCAUCCAAGGCAAAGUGCAGCAGGAGGGGAAAAAAAAAUAUGAAAUGACCCAGCAACUCAGCUGGCAAGUGGCACAUGUUUGGGUGCAUGGUAUUCUGGCCUGUUCUGUCUCCAGGUUACCCAUGCCCUCAUCACCCAGGUAGGAACAGUUAGAAUCACAGAACCAUUGAGUUGGAAGGAACACUUAAAGGCCAUAGAGCCAGCCUCCCCUGCAAUGAACAGGGCCACCUACAGCUAGAUCAGCUGCUCAGAGCCCAGUUCGGCCUGACCUUGGAUGUCUCCAGCGAUCGCACAUCCACCACCUCUCUGGGCAAUCUGUUCUGGAAACGCUUACCUGGCAACACACCCAGACCACCAACACAGCUAUCAUGAGUUCAGUACCCACCAGAGAGCUGUGCUCGGCCCCGAGCUCCCAUGCAGCUGCCGAGCAGGAAGGGAACACAACUGCCUCUGCAAACAUCUGAAAUAGCGCAGCCCCUCUUUAGAUACCGAAAUGAAACACAUGAGAAACACAGGAGACAAGCACACCGAGACAAAUGCAGGCACUCUCCAGCUCCCUAAAGUCACUGCAAACUUCACGAUGAUAACAGGUAAGGUGCAAAAACACUGCAAAAGCACCAACUAUAUCUUGAACUCGAGAGAAAGAAGAGGCGGAGAUAAGGUUACACGGUCGUUGAUGACUGAUGCUCUUUCAACGCAAAGUAACCAGUUCUCCUCUGAAAUAACUGAGAAAAGUUAACAGGAAGUACCCACGAGGUUACUCCCAGCACAACGCGAAACCGAGAGAACCUCCUUAACCAGGAAGUUGGCAGAAGAACCGCAGAACACCGAGCACGCCCGGGAGCAACCCCAUCCCCAGCACGGGGCACCCCGCGCCGCCCCACUCCCCGCUAGCACCUGCUCGGGGCAGCGGGGCCCGCUGGAGGCGAGCGGGGCUCGGCGCGGGGCUCAGCGGGGCAGCGCCGCCGGCGGCCGGGGCGGCUCCCGGGAGCGGGACGCGGGCCG